AUUCCAUAUUUCCGAUGCAACUGUCAUGGCUGCCAUCAGUGAGGGCCCGAAAUGGAGAUCGGGUUAAGGGUCGCCCAGGGGCACUUAAGAGCCUUCGGCUUCAAGGGGGCCUCUCAAAGGAAAAAGGAUGAGAUUUUCUGGCGGCAGGGUGCCCCCCACAAUCCUAGGAACUCUGUCGUCGCGCUUCCCGUUAACUUGCCGCUAAGUUUUUCUAGAAAACUCGUCCUUCUUGGCAGGGUGGGGCCUCACUUCUGACCCAGCCCUUCUUUGUGUACCAAGUUUUUGUUUCCGUCACUUCCCGCGGCCCGGGAGCUCGGCGGGCCAUACCGUGGUAGCCUGGGAGGAAGGGGCGGGCCGGAUGUUGGAACCUAGAGAGGUGGGGCUCGUCGAGGAGUCACGGGCGGCGGAGGCUGGAGUCUUCUAAAUGGAACAUUGAGUUACCCCACCGUUUGGUGCCUGGUCUCUCUUAAUUCUAGGUGCUUCUCACCGUGGAGGCGCUCAGAGCUGACCAUAAGGCUCUUCCCUGCUGACCCAACCACCCUCAACCACAGCCUGCCCUCCUCCAGAUAGACUUUGAUCCUAGAAAAUAUCUAGGAUGGGCAUAGUGCAGUAUGUUGUGUUGUUUUUUUUUUUUAAGUCUCAAACAUAAGCAAACUGUUAUUAAAAGUUUUAGAAUUAAUAGGCAGAGUUCGCAUAUUGGGUCAUGUGAUCGUUUUAAGGUUUAAAUUUAGAUAACAUGGUAGCAAAAGCAUUAGGAAAAAAAACAGUAUGAGAAAAUAGACUAAUUUUAACUUUGCUACUGCGCGGUGGUAACAUGAAGACACCUCAUAAUAAAGUUUUCAUUACCAGAAGCUUCUGAAAAUAAAAUUCUGGAUAUAUUAAUGUGAGUUUUCCUCUCUGCAGGGUGUCCUGUAGGUUUUGUCAUGGAGUGAAACAGAAACAAAUGUAGGUCUCCUGGGUUCUUGGCACAGUACCUGGACAAAACAUUGUUAAGGUGGAAAUUUUCGUUGUAUUUAUCACUUCAAACAUUUGACCAGUUUAUUUA